GGGUGCUUUUGGUUAUCAAUCGAAAGCAUGACACAAGUUUUGCAGACGGUAGAUAAACAAAAACCCCGAAAGUAAAUUUUCAUUAACUAACGAGGUUUAAGUGAUGUACCCAACAAUGCAAAUCUUAGCCUCUAUUUUGAUAAGAGGCAAGUAAAAUGCUGAAAAA
rnacentral:antisense_RNA from 1 species